rnacentral:lncRNA from 1 species
UUCCAGCUUCACCAUACAUCAACUCCCUUUGACGCUUGGUUCGCAAAUAGUUCUUGUUAUCACGAGGUGUGUACGUCAGGUUUAUUGAUCCACCAACUUGCCGACUUGCCAACUCAUGGGCUGCUUUCGGUACAAUUCCCGAAUCAUCUGCAGUUUCAAUAUCAAAAGCUUGCAAGGUUGAUAUCUUUCGUUGUGAUGGCAUCAAGUGGCAUGUUCCAGGCAACUGCAAGACAUGGUUAUGAUCAGUGACUAACUCAUGUACUUCAUAAUUUCCCGUUUCUCGGUCGAUGGUGAUUCCUAUUCGAACCUUGCAACCAGUCCUGGUUUCUGCACGAGGACGCUUGGUAUUAUGAUCUCUUUUGUCUAUUCUUCUGUAGCCUUCAUUGGAACAAACGUAUCUCGCGGAAGUUAUUGCACCAUCAAGUUUGCUCUUAUUUUCAUAAUUUACCCUUACGUCAAAACCAAUAUGACCUCCAUAACAAGUCCAAAAGUUCCAAGCCUCUUUUGUGGAAUUAAAUUUCAUACCAAUUUGAGGCAUCCAACUAGGAAUCAUAUUAUUUGUCAUGUAAAGGCAUAUCUUAAUUUAUUUGUCUAGUCACACUAUAAGAAUAUGAUGACAUAGCCUGAGAAUUUAACAAAAUUGCGUGUACCUGUUCGAAUCUUUAUUGGAGUUGGUCAUACUCUCCAUCAAACCUUGUCUUCUCCUUUUUGUAAUCUGUGAUUGCAUAGCAAACUCAGCCUAGAGGAAAUCUCUUGCUACCUUGAGAACAUGAAUACAAUCAGUGCAUAUGUCACAUACCUUGAGAUUUAUCGACUUCCUUUUUGUUGCUAGGAGAAGGAAGGUAAAAGGGAGAUCAUCUACAUUAAUCUCCUGUCAGGUAAUGGAAAUCCCAAACAUUUCAUGAGCAAAGCACCUAUGGUACAACUUCCACGUACAGAUCUGACUAUAUUCAUGUAUUUUAUCUUGAGGUUGUCCAAAACAAUAGAGAUCACUUCUGCUAUAAUCACUUUUUUCCACUAACAUCAUCUAGAAGAUGUAGAAAUAAAUUUUACAUCUCAUCCGUUCUUUAUCACUUCUGAUAUUCUACUAGUUGUUCGGGUUGUUCGGAGGGUUCGACUCCUCUGCAAUUUCGCUACUGCUGAAUUUAUCAAAAUUGAUGGUACCUGUUUGAAUCUUCAUUGGAGUUGGUCAUAUGCUCCACUAGACCUUGCACAAAUUCAGUAUAGGAGUUGUCUUGUUGCCUUCAGAACAUGAACAGAAUCAGACCACAUGUUAGAUCCCUAGAGAUUGAUCCGCUUCUUUUUUGUUGCUAGGAGAAUGGCAAAGGGGAGAUCAACAACACCACUUACAAAUCAGCGACAGGAGGACGAUCAGAGAUAGACAAAAGGGAGAUCUCUAUGCCAACGUGUGUUCUGGUUACAAGGAGGACGAAGACGGGCGGCGCGAAGGCAUGGAGAUAUUUGGCGCCAACCUGCGUUCUGUUUAGCGCCAACUUGCCGUACGAGUUUUUUUAGGGGAUCUGCCGUAGGAGAUUUUGCAGCCAACAGUUCAGGUGUUUGUUGUCAUUUAUUAUAAAAGAAUUAAAGGAGGAAAUAAGAGCGGUCAGAUUGAAAUUAACGGUUGAUGUACACCGGUGCUGUAAUAGCUGCACUGCAGAGGAGCCGGACCCGCGACCGGCGCGUCGGUUCGGCCGGCGCGCUGGUUGGAAACGAUUCCCUUCGGUUAUGCAAUGGAAUAAAAGGAAAGAAAGAAAAGAUGCACGAUUUAAGGGUCGCAAAAGAUCCUUCUCUCCUGACGGCGUCUCUCUUCUCUUCUCUGUUUUCCUUUAGCCUGUUUUCCUUUAGCCUCGUGCGUGCGUUGUGUUUUUCAGAGAAAAGUUCAGGGGAGAAAGGGUAGAUCGCUGCUUGAAACCUAACACGCAGUGCUCCGGCCGAGCUCGCGCUCGUGCUUGGGUUGACCUCCGUGUCUCGCCUCCAGCUCUCUGGUGCCGCGGGAAGGGCGCCCCCGUAUAGAUCUGCUUCCUCGACGUCACGGAGGUCUCCAAGGCGCAGAUCAGCCUCGGCCCCGAGCUCUUCUUCCCCUGUUUCGCGAUCCAGAAAGCUCGCCGUGUG